rnacentral:rRNA from 1 species
CCUUACCAGGUCUUGACAUACUCGUGCUAUUCCUAGAGAUAGGAAGUUCCUUCGGGACACGGGAUACAGGUGGUGCAUGGUUGUCGUCAGCUCGUGUCGUGAGAUGUUGGGUUAAGUCCGCAACGAGCGCAACCCCUAUUGUUAGUUGCCAUCAUUAAGUUGGGCACUCUAACGAGACUGCCGGUGAUAAACCGGAGGAAGGUGGGGAUGACGUCAAAUCAUCAUGCCCCUUAUGACCUGGGCUACACACGUGCUACAAUGGAUGGUACAACGAGUCGCGAGACAGUGAUGUUUAGCUAAUCUCUUAAAACCAUUCUCAGUUCGGAUUGUAGGCUGCAACUCGCCUACAUGAAGUCGGAAUCGCUAGUAAUCGCGGAUCAGCACGCCGCGGUGAAUACGUUCCCGGGCCUUGUACACACCGCCCGUCACACCACGGGAGUUGGGAGUACCCGAAGUAGGUUGCCUAACCGCAAGGAGGGCGCUUCCUAAGGUAAGACCGAUGACUGGGGUGAAGUCGUAACAAGGUAAGCGUAGCGAG